rnacentral:rRNA from 1 species
CCUACGGGUGGCAGCAGUAGGGAAUAUUGCUCAAUGGGGGAAACCCUGAAGCAGCAACGCCGCGUGGAGGAUGAAGGUUUUCGGAUUGUAAACUCCUUUUGUUAGAGAAGAUAAUGACGGUAUCUAACGAAUAAGCACCGGCUAACUCCGUGCCAGCAGCCGCGGUAAUACGGAGGGUGCAAGCGUUACUCGGAAUCACUGGGCGUAAAGAGCGCGUAGGCGGGAUAGCAAGUCAGAUGUGAAAUCCUAUGGCUUAACCAUAGAACUGCAUUUGAAACUGUUAUUCUAGAGUAUGGGAGAGGUAGGUGGAAUUCUUGGUGUAGGGGUAAAAUCCGUAGAGAUCAAGAGGAACACCAGUGGCGAAGGCGGAUUGCUGGACAGUAACUGACGCUGAGGCGCGAAAGCGUGGGGAGCAAACAGGAUUAGAUACCCGAGUAGUC